UACGGAGGGGGCUAGCGUUGUCCGAAGUUACUGGGCGUAAAGGGCGCGUAGGCGGAUGUUUAAGUCGGGGGUGAAAGCCCGGGGCUCAACCUCGGAAUUGCCUUCGAUACUGGACAUCUUGAGUACGGGAGAGGUGAGUGGAACUCCGAGUGUAGAGGUGAAAUUCGUAGAUAUUCGGAAGAACACCAGUGGCGAAGGCGACUCACUGGCCCGUUACUGACGCUGAGGCGCGAAAGCGUGGGGAGCAAACAGG
rnacentral:rRNA from 1 species